CAGUGAGUUAAAAGUUAACGAUCGGUAUGAAGUGAAAUUUUGAAAUCCGCUCUCCUAAUUUAGGACCAAUAUCGUCAAAUUUAGUGAUGUCAACAUUGGCAGCUAGACACAAGUCACUUUCCGAUCCAAAGCUGACAGGAAGUCGUGCACAAACAGCUGUUACUUCCAGCAACAAAAACGACGCUGAUUAUCCGACUCUGGAAAGGACACCAUAUGGAGGAAGCUCUAGAUCCCCUUGGAAGCUUGAUUUGCUUGCCCAGAAAGAUGCAAGCCCUAUAGGAAAGCACUAUUGUGUUCUGUCAUUAUGAAAGCACUAAUGUUUUUUGGAAAUCACUAUGAGCAUGUUUGUUGGCGCAAUUUUGUGCUGGUGAGAUCUGGCUAUGCUUAUCGGCUUCAAUGCAGAGUGCUGCUGUAUAUGUCGACUGGGAGAAAUUUUGACAAAAUAGCGUGUAUUUAGGAUAUCAGACUUGGUUAUUCGAUAAAAGUACAGGUAGAAAUAUCCCGCAGAGGCAUACAAGGAAAUAUUGUGAGCAGUGUUUUGUGUCGACGAAUUUGUAUGGACAAAUAAGAGCCUUCACGGGGCAUAUAAACACAACACUAGAGUGUCAAGCAGCCCAUGUAGUCAUGAUGUCGAUACCACUGUCAGGUGUGUGCAGAUGCUGCAUGCAAAAUUGUGAGCAGGUUUCACCUUGCCGGUUCAGGAGAAAAUCCACAGAGAAGUGAAGGUCUCAAAAUUUUAUAAGGACGCACAUGUAAGUACAUGUGUAGCUAAAAUGUGUGCGCUACCACUUCCAGCACACCACACCAGAAGGGGAGGGCAAAUAUGCCAACAACCACCAUUUCUGCAAUGAUGAUGUACCGUAAUAAUAGAAAAUAUUCAAGGUGACAGCUACUUGCUUUUAUGCUCACAUUUAUCAUCUGCUAACAGUAGAUGUGGCUUUGUAGACUGCCACCGCAAGAGACAAAACACAAGGAACCUGGCUGCAGACUUUAUCAAAGCAACAUAUUUCUGGGAUGCGAUUACUGCCAAUACAAGCCCAUGACCAUGA